CUUCUAAUCCACCAGCGGGGGAGUGGCGGGGCCGCUGUCUGCCGCUCUCUUGUGUAACAGCACCAACGGCUCAGUCCCUCUGCCUGGCGCUGAAGCGUGGCUGCUGCGGCGUCUGGGCGGUCCUAGUGCCUGCUCCAGGUUAGCACAGGCUGCCCCUCCAGGAGUCGCCCGCUUCCUUCCCUGCUUCUUCUCCUGGAGGUUGUCACCGAAGGUUUUCGGAGAUGAGAACCGGUUAAGCCUCAGGGCAGUGGAGUUUGUUUAGGGGGAAAUGGUUUAUUGGUACUAAGCACAGAGAAUCAACAACUGGGAUCUCAUCUUACUAAAAAGCUUCUGCACACCAAGAGAAACCUCCAACAGAGCUAAGAGACAACCUACAAUCUGAUUCCUGCCUUCCCCCAACAACAGUAGAAAAGACAAGACUUGAAAAAUGACCCAAAGUGAACAAAUAUAAUGAUGACUGCAAGGAUACUGGAAUAAAAUUUGAAGUUCAAGAGAUUGAAGAAGAUAUAUGCCAGGU
rnacentral:lncRNA from 1 species